rnacentral:rRNA from 1 species
GUAGUCCACGCCCUAAACGAUGUCAACUGGUUGUUGGACGGCUUGCUGUUCAGUAACGAAGCUAACGCGUGAAGUUGACCGCCUGGGGAGUACGGCCGCAAGGUUGAAACUCAAAGGAAUUGAACGGGGACCCGCACAAGCGGUGGAUGAUGUGGUUUAAUUCGAUGCAACGCGAAAAACCUUACCUACCCUUGACAUGUCUAGGAUCCCGAAGAGAUUUGGGAGUGCUCGAAAGAGAGCUAGAACACAGGUGCUGCAUGGCCGUCGUCAGCUCGUGUCGUGAGAUGUUGGGUUAAGUCCCGCAACGAGCGCAACCCUUAUCAUUAGUUGCUACGCAAGGGCACUCUAAUGAGACUGCCGGUGACAAACCGGAGGAAGGUGGGGAUGACGUCAGGUCAUCAUGGCCCUUAUGGGUAGGGCUACACACGUCAUACAAUGGCCGGUANCAGAGGGCUGCCAACCCGCGAGGGGGAGCUAAUCUCAGAAAACCGGUCGUAGUCCGGAUCGCAGUCUGCAACUCGACUGCGUGAAGUCGGAAUCGCUAGUAAUCGCGGAUCAGCUUGCCGCGGUGAAUACGUUCCCGGGUCUUGUACACACCGCCCGUCACACCAUGGGAGCGGGUUCUGCCAGAAGUAGUUAGCCUAACCGCAAGGAGGGCGAUUACCACGGCAGGGUUCGUGANCUGGGGUGAAGUCGUAANCAAGGUAUC